rnacentral:lncRNA from 1 species
CAUUAAUACAUAUAUUUUCAUUUUAUGUUAAGGCUCUUCUUAAGAAUAAUUUCUCUUUGUUAUAUGUUAAGGUUAAUUGUGUAUGUUCUAUAUUAUAUGAUUUUACUUGUUCUAGCCAUUUUAUUCCUAAUAUUAUAUCUGCUUUUUACAUUUCUUCCUUUGCUUCAAAUUUUAUUUUUAUUUUUCUAAUUCCUAUUAUUAUUUCUUUUUCUGCUAUAUUUUUACUAUUUAUUAAACUUCUUGGU